rnacentral:rRNA from 1 species
AUUGCCUUAGUAACGGCGAGUGAAGCGGCAACAGCUCAAAUUUGAAAUCUGGCCCCAGGCCCGAGUUGUAAUUUGCAGAGGAUGCUUUUGGCGCGGUGCCUUCCGAGUUCCCUGGAACGGGACGCCAUAGAGGGUGAGAGCCCCGUCUGGUUGGAUACCAAGCCUUUGUAAAGCUCCUUCGACGAGUCGAGUAGUUUGGGAAUGCUGCUCUAAAUGGGAGGUAUAUGUCUUCUAAAGCUAAAUACCGGCCAGAGACCGAUAGCGCACAAGUAGAGUGAUCGAAAGAUGAAAAGCACUUUGGAAAGAGAGUUAAACAGCACGUGAAAUUGUUAAAAGGGAAGCGUUUAUGACCAGACUUGGGCCGGUUAAUCAUCCAGCGUUCUCGCUGGUGCACUUUGCCGGUCCAGGCCAGCAUCAGUUCGCUGCGGGGGAUAAAGGCGUCGGGAAUGUGGCUCCUCUGGAGUGUUAUAGCCCUUCGCGCAAUACCCUGCGGUGGACUGAGGUUCGCGCAUCUGCAAGGAUGCUGGCGUAAUGGUCAUCAACGACCCGUCUUGAAACACGGACCAAGGAGUCGUCUUCGUAUGCGAGUGUUCGGGUGUAAAACCCCUACGCGUAAUGAAAGUGAACGCAGGUGAGAGCUUCGGCGCAUCAUCGACCGAUCCUGAUGUUCUCGGAUGGAUUUGAGUAAGAGCAUACGGGGCCGGACCCGAAAGAAGGUGAACUAUGCCUGUAUAGGGUGAAGCCAGAGGAAACUCUGGUGGAGGCUCGCAGCGGUUCUGACGUGCAAAUCGAUCGUCAAAUAUGGGCAUGGGCGCGAAAGACUAAU